rnacentral:rRNA from 1 species
GGAGGAGGCAAGCGUUGUUCGGAAUCACUGGGCUUAAAGCGUGCGUAGGCGGGAUGGCAGGUGUCUUGUGAAAGCCCUCGGCUCAACCGAGGAAUUGCUGGGCAAACCGUCAUUCUUGAGGCCAGCAGGGGGACCUGGAACUUUGGGUGGAGCGGUGAAAUGCGUAGAUAUCCAAGGGAACGCCAGUGGCGAAAGCGAGGUCCUGGGCUGGUUCUGACGCUGAGGCACGAAAGCGUGGGUAGCAAACAGGGAUUAGAUACCCUGGUAGUCCACGCCGUAAACGAUGCGCACUAGGUAUCAGCGCCUCUGACGGGGUUGGUGCCGUAGCGAAAGCAUUAAGUGCGCCGCCUGGGAGUACGGCCGCAAGGCUA